rnacentral:lncRNA from 1 species
UGAGGUGUCCCCAACAAUUUUAUUAUAAAUAAAAACAAGACUCCCAGUGGGUGGCUGCAGCCCCUGCCUCGGUGGCUGUGAGCACCUGUUGGAGGGGCCUGCCCUUACCCUGGUCUGGAGGCCAGAACCGAGGAAAGGGCUCCCUGCCCCUCCAAGUACACAGGGGAGCCUGAGGUACUGAGAAUAAAAACCAGGGAGGGACUCCCAGGCCAGGCGGUUGGAGGUGAGGUCCAGGUUGAGGGUGUGCAGGGCAGGCAUGGCGCCGAUGCCGGCCCAGGGCACCUGCCGGAGGUUGUUGUAGGACAGGUCCAGGUCCUCCAGGCUCUCUAGGAAGUCGUCGAAGGCUCCCGGCGCGAUGCGGCCCAGCUGGUUGCCGCUGAGGAUGAGGUGCUGCAGAUUGACGGGGCCCCGGAGGCUCCCGGUGCCCAGCUCCACCAGCCUGUUGCCGUCAAGGUGGAGGGAACGCAGGCUCUCGAGGUCCCCAAAGGCGCGGGCCCCAAUGCGGGUGAUGGCAUUGCGAGACAGUGUCAGGUCCACCAGUCCCGUCAUGUUGCGGAAGUCAGGGGGCCCCAGGGCCUGGAUGAAGUUGUCAGCCAGCCGCAGCUCCACUGUGCGCCGGUC